AGAGUUUGAUCAUGGCUCAGGACGAACGCUGGCGGCGUGCUUCACACAUGCAAGUCGAACGGGGAUGCAGCAAAAGCUUGCUUUUAUUGCAUCCUAGUGGCGGACGGGUGAGUAACACGUGAGCAACCUGCCCGACAUACUGGGAUAACAGCGGGAAACCGUUGCUAAUACCGGAUACUCCAUUUCUGGCGCAUGUCAGAGAUGGGAAAGGGUUUACCGAUGUCGGAUGGGCUCGCGUCCCAUUAGCUGGUUGGUGAGGUAACGGCUCACCAAGGCUGCGAUGGGUAGCUGGUCUGAGAGGACGAUCAGCCACACUGGAACUGAGACACGGUCCAGACUCCUACGGGAGGCAGCAGUGGGGAAUAUUGCACAAUGGGCGAAAGCCUGAUGCAGCGACGCCGCGUGGAGGAUGAAGGCCUUCGGGUCGUAAACUCCUGUCUGGGGGGAUGAACACUGACAGUACCCCCGGAGGAAGCCCCGGCUAACUACGUGCCAGCAGCCGCGGUAAU
rnacentral:rRNA from 1 species